rnacentral:rRNA from 1 species
GAUGAACGCUGGCGGCGUGCCUAAUACAUGCAAGUCGAGCGAACAGAUGAGGAGCUUGCUCCUCUGACGUUAGCGGCGGACGGGUGAGUAACACGUGGAUAACCUACCUAUAAGACUGGGAUAACUUCGGGAAACCGGAGCUAAUACCGGAUAAUAUAUUGAACCGCAUGGUUCAAUAGUGAAAGACGGUUUUGCUGUCACUUAUAGAUGGAUCCGCGCUGCAUUAGCUAGUUGGUAAGGUAACGGCUUACCAAGGCGACGAUGCGUAGCCGACCUGAGAGGGUGAUCGGCCACACUGGAACUGAGACACGGUCCAGACUCCUACGGGAGGCAGCAGUAGGGAAUCUUCCGCAAUGGGCGAAAGCUUGACGGAGCAACGCCGCGUGAGUGAUGAAGGUCUUCGGAUCGUAAAACUCUGUUAUUAGGGAAGAACAAAUGUGUAAGUAACUAUGCACGUCUUGACGGUACCUAAUCAGAAAGCCACGGCUAACUACGUG